rnacentral:rRNA from 1 species
GGACUUGUGAUUAAUCCAGGUAGUUGUAUCUCUUUGCUACAAUCCGAAGAAGUGGAGGGCAAGGAAAUUGAAUCUUAUUUACUGUCUGUACAAGACUAGAGUCAAUUGGAUUGCUGCUGGGAGAGCUCCAGUCAAGAUGGCGUUGCACAACAUUGGUGCUUCGAACAAGGAUGAUGCCUUGUACAGGUGCAAGAUGCCCAGAAUCUUAACCGAAAUGCAAAGUUGUGUUAGGCAUCAACAUGAGGGAACGAAGAGCGAACAGGAGGCCACCUACUCACGCAACAGCCACACUCCACCGUCGUUCUUCUAUCCGAAGACCCUCAAGUAUACUGCUGGAACAACACAGCUACUGAGAAAACUGUUGAAGAAGACGCAAUGGUUGCUGAUGGAGUAUACUUAGACUAGGAAUGUCAAAUCUUGCAAAUUUGAUGUUGAAUUCAUGACAACUAUUGUACCAACCUAUAGCUGAUUGCUCUCCCUGACAAUGUACUAAUUAGUAUACAAUGUAUCUUUUCCUAUCAAAUUCAUAUGGAUAAUAUAAA